UACGAAGGGGGCUAGCGUUGUUCGGAAUCACUGGGCGUAAAGCGCACGUAGGCGGAUUGUUAAGUCGGGGGUGAAAUCCUGAAGGCUCAACCUCAGAACUGCCUUCGAUACUGGCAAAUCGUCGAGUCCGGGAAGAGGGUUGGUGGAACAGCUAGUGUAGAGGUGAAAUUCGUAGAUAUUAGCUAGAACACCAGUGGCGAAGGGCGGCCAACUGGUCCGGUACUGACGCUGAGGUGCGAAAGCGUGGGGAGCAAACAGG
rnacentral:rRNA from 1 species